rnacentral:rRNA from 1 species
GAUGAACGCUGGCGGCGUGCCUAAUACAUGCAAGUCGAGCGAACGGACGAGAAGCUUGCUUCUCUGAUGUUAGCGGCGGACGGGUGAGUAACACGUGGAUAACCUACCUAUAAGACUGGGAUAACUUCGGGAAACCGGAGCUAAUACCGGAUAAUAUUUUGAACCGCAUGGUUCAAAAGUGAAAGACGGUCUUGCUGUCGCUUAUAGAUGGAUCCGCGCUGCAUUAGCUAGUUGGUAAGGUAACGGCUUACCAAGGCAACGAUGCAUAGCCGACCUGAGAGGGUGAUCGGCCACACUGGAACUGAGACACGGUCCAGACUCCUACGGGAGGCAGCAGUAGGGAAUCUUCCGCAAUGGGCGAAAGCCUGGCGGAGCAACGCCGCGUGAGUGAUGAAGGUCUUCGGAUCGUAAAACUCUGUUAUUAGGGAAGAACAUAUGUGUAAGUAACUGUGCACAUCUUGACGGUACCUAAUCAGAAAGCCACGGCUAACUACGUG